rnacentral:rRNA from 1 species
GAAUUCACUAGUGAUUAGAGUUUGAUCCUGGCUCAGGAUGAACGCUGGCGGCGUGCUUAACACAUGCAAGUCGAACGAACCUUCGGGUUAGUGGCGGACGGGUGAGUAACGCGUGAGAAUCUGCCCUCAGGAGGGGGAUAACGGUUGGAAACGACCGCUAAUACCCCAUAUGCCGAGAGGUGAAAUGAAUUUCGCCUGAGGAUGAGCUCGCGUCUGAUUAGUUAGUUGGUGGGGUAAUGGCCUACCAAGACAUCGAUCAGUAGCUGGUCUGAGAGGAUGAUCAGCCACACUGGGACUGAGACACGGCCCAGACUCCUACGGGAGGCAGCAGUGGGGAAUUUUCCGCAAUGGGCGAAAGCCUGACGGAGCAACGCCGCGUGAGGGAUGAAGGCCUCUGGGCUGUAAACCUCUUUUAUCAAGGAAGAAGAUCUGACGGUACUUGAUGAAUAAGCCACGGCUAAUUCCGUGCCAGCAGCCGCGGUAAUACGGGAGUGGCAAGCGUUAUCCGGAAUUAUUGGGCGUAAAGCGUCCGCAGGCGGUCUGUCAAGUCUGCUGUUAAAGCGUGGAGCUUAACUCCAUUUCGGCAGUGGAAACUGACAGACUAGAGUGUGGUAGGGGCAGAGGGAAUUCCCGGUGUAGCGGUGAAAUGCGUAGAUAUCGGGAAGAACACCAGUGGCGAAGGCGCUCUGCUGGGCCAUAACUGACGCUCAUGGACGAAAGCCAGGGGAGCGAAAGGGAUUAGAUACCCCUGUAGUCCUGGCCGUAAACGAUGAACACUAGGUGUCGGGGGAAUCGACCCCCUCGGUGUCGUAGCCAACGCGUUAAGUGUUCCGCCUGGGGAGUACGCACGCAAGUGUGAAACUCAAAGGAAUUGACGGGGGCCCGCACAAGCGGUGGAGUAUGUGGUUUAAUUCGAUGCAACGCGAAGAACCUUACCAGGGUUUGACAUCCUGCGAAUCUCUUGGAAACGAGAGAGUGCCUUCGGGAACGCAGUGACAGGUGGUGCAUGGCUGUCGUCAGCUCGUGUCGUGAGAUGUUGGGUUAAGUCCCGCAACGAGCGCAACCCACGUCGUUAGUUGCCAGCAUUUAGUUGGGCACUCUAGCGAGACCGCCGGUGAUAAACCGGAGGAAGGUGUGGAUGACGUCAAGUCAUCAUGCCCCUUACAUCCUGGGCUACACACGUACUACAAUGCUACGGACAAAGGGCAGCAAACUCGCGAGAGCUAGCAAAUCCCAUAAACCGUGGCUCAGUUCAGAUCGUAGGCUGCAACUCGCCUACGUGAAGGAGGAAUCGCUAGUAAUCGCAGGUCAGCAUACUGCGGUGAAUACGUUCCCGGGCCUUGUACACACCGCCCGUCACACCAUGGAAGUUGGCCACGCCCGAAGCCGUUACUCCAACCCUUGUGGAGGAGGACGUCGAAGGUGGGGCUGAUGACUGGGGUGAAGUCGUAACAAGGUAACCAAUCGAAU